rnacentral:rRNA from 1 species
UACGAAGGGGGCUAGCGUUGUUCGGAAUCACUGGGCGUAAAGCGCACGUAGGCGGAUCUUUAAGUCAGGGGUGAAAUCCCGAGGCUCAACCUCGGAACUGCCUUUGAUACUGGGGAUCUCGAGUCCGGGAGAGGUGAGUGGAACUGCGAGUGUAGAGGUGAAAUCGUAGAUAUUCGCAAGAACACCAGUGGCGAAGGCGGCUCACUGGCCCGGAACUGACGCUGAGGUGCGAAAGCGUGGGGAGCAAACAGG